AGCCGUGAAAACAUAUUUGUCCCUCUUGCAGGGAGUGGUCCACUGAUGAACGGCUGAAUUUUCAAUCUUUCAGCUGUUUCCAAAAUCUCACAGAAAUCUUUCUUAAGCAGUUCUGACUGCUCCUUCCGAAUAUCAUUCUUCCCCACAUGGAUGAUAAUCCGUUUUGCAGUAUUGUGCUUUUUCAGAAUUUCCUCAAGUUCUUUAUUUAUAUCAUAAAUUGUCGCAUGAGGAAAGCAGUAUGUCAUGGUAGCUCUGCUCCCAAAAUUUUUGAUUAUUGAGUCUCAAACAAUCAAUAUUCUUAUCUCUGUUGCGAUCGGAGCAGAAUGCCACUGUCUAGUCGGCCUUGAGCCUCUGUUCAGUGCAAAGGUAAUUGCUGAGUCAUGCGAUCUCUGUCUAACUGCAUUUGGGGAUUCUUCACCCAUAUUACUCAAAACUUCAUAUCUGUUCUGAAGCUGUAUUUGAGUCCGAGCUGUAUUUGCUGUAGAGAACGCUAAUGCAGCAGCGUAUGACCUUUGUGAUCUGACCCCACGAGUACCCUUUGGUCUUGCACCUUGUUUAUGCCAUAGUUCACGCUGAUUUUCAACAGUUUCAAUCUGUUUUUCUCUUCUCAAAACAGUAGCUGGAGUAGAUUUAUAGGGCUUACCGGCUGAAUGCUGUGAGGCUCCAAGAUAAACCAGUCCUGUGUAAUUCGACAGUUCUGGUCGGAUCGCAAGUAACUUUGUUUCAAGAACUACAAUCUUUUGUAAAAGUUUGUGGCAGUUGGUGCAGCAGGGAGAUUCCAAAUCAAUAUAAUCCAGAGCCAUUUUCACAGCCAUGUUUUCUCGUCUCAGGAAUGAAAGUAGCUGGUAGCAGGAGGAUUAUUUAGACGAUAAUUCCUCUUUUGCUGGUAAAGUUGUAUUCCAGAAAGUUUGUAGAUUCGAUGUUGAUCUUCAAGCUGUUUCGUUUGAGCACUGUGCUGAUAAGCUCAAGUUAAAAUUAGAGUAUAAAAUAUAAAAGCAGGAGUGGUAGCAGGAGCAGUAGGCAAAGACCUCCGAACAGUAGCGAAGCUUAAGGUAAACCUAAACUUAAGUAGCUUAAGGUAAACACAUCUCACCUGGCAUGUAUAUCUAUUUUUUAUUUUUUUUGCUGCUAUGCCCAUUGCUAUUAUCACUGCAAAAAUUAAAAUCUUUUUCAUCCGUUACUCUCUCGUAUAUACACUAUUUACCUUGAGUUUAAAACAUCAUCUAAACAAAAUCUAAAAUAUUUUAAAUCUAAUUAUGGGAUUUAAUCUAUAAAGUAAUUAUGUUUUUAAAAUAAGGAACACAUUUUUAUAUUUUUAAAAAAUGCUUUUUAACUUACUAAAAUCCAUGCUUCCUCAAAAUGUUUAACUUUCUUUUGUGGCAUAAUGAAAGGAGAAAUGAUGGCUGAAUAAAGCUUCUUGAAUAAUAAAACUUUGCAGAAAUGAAGUUCUGUUUUUAUGUUUUAGGUGAUCUCAGUGUGCUUUGAUGGAUCGCUUUGUAUGUACAUAAGUUAAACGAGAAGCAGCUUCCAGAACGUACUUUUUAAGGAAACAUGGUAUGCCCAAAGUUGAAAUAAUAGUCCAGUCCUGGAGUCAUUGAAGAGAGUCUGAGGAACAUACGAAAGCAUCUGAUGCACUUGAGAGGCCACAAGGAGAGAGGGAAGAUGCACCAAGCAGGACAGUCAUGCCAGAUAAUGGGUAGACUUAAUUUUUAAAACAGUAGUUUAAAAAACCUGCUUUCUUAAACCCCAUAACUUUAAGAUGUCAAGUGAAAAGACUUUUUUGUUUAGCUCAUACUCAUAGGUUGCUGGUGCCCUUAAAUAAUACUACUAAUAAAAACAAUUAGUGCAAUG